CACACCUGUUUAAUCCCAGAGCAUGGGAAUGGAAUUGGAGAGGCACUGUGGGGACUGUCAGGCCAAGAGGCGUUAGAGAUGGAUCGUGCGGCCCGAGGACUUCUGCAGCAACAUGGGGAGGUUAAAAGGCAGGUGGUGCAGCAGGAAUCCCAGGAGAAUCAGAACUGAACGAAUAUCUGCUUGAGAGCACAUAGCAAGAAAAAACACUCCCUGUGAAGACUGGAAAGGGGUUGUGUCCGGCCCCUUGCUGCCCCAGCUGUUGGGUAAGGAGGCCCAGUGCCCCCAGCUCCCUGGAGAGGCUGGACCCGCUGUUGCGGAUGCUCCUGUCUGAUGAUGAAAUUCAGGUCCAGACAGGUGAGGGCUUGCUCAGGAUCCUACAGCGACCUCCUUUUCUGGACCCCCCGGUCCUGCCA